GCGGGCGUCGUUCAAUGGCAGGACCUGAGCUUCCCAAGCUCAAGAUGCGGGUUCGAUUCCCGCCGCCCGCUCCA
rnacentral:tRNA from 2 species